GGGCGUUUGGCACAGUGGUAGCGCGCACGCUUUGCAGUCAUGAUUGCGUGAGGUCCAGGGUUCAAGCCCCUGAACGUCCA